AUACGGAGGGUGCAAACGUUGUUCGGAAUCACUGGGCGUAAAGGGCGCGCAGGCGGUUUGAUUAGUCAGAUGUGAAAGCCCACGGCUUAACCGUGGAAGUGCAUUUGAAACUGUCAGACUUGAGUACCAGAGGGGGUAGUGGAAUUCCCGGUGUAGAGGUGAAAUUCGUAGAUAUCGGGAGGAAUACCGGUGGCGAAGGCGACUACCUGGCUGGAUACUGACGCUGAGGCGCGAAAGCGUGGGGAGCAAACAGGAUUAGAUACCCGUGUAGUCC
rnacentral:rRNA from 1 species